rnacentral:rRNA from 1 species
CACACCGCCCGUCACACCAUGGGAGUGGGUUUCACCAGAAGCAGGUAGCCUAACCGCAAGGAGGGCGCCUACCACGGUGAGAUUCAUGACUGGGGUGAAGUCGUAACAAGGUACCC